CUCCUCCAAGUACAAGAACUCCGCUCCAUUGCAAGGUUGGAUGCAGAGAAUUAAGAAAGGGCAGAUUACAGUCGAUGGAGAUGUG